UCAUGGUAGGCAUGGGACAGAAGGACAGCUAUGUGGGUGACGAGGCGCAGAGCAAGAGGGGGAUCCUCACGCUCAAGUACCCCAUCGAGCACGGCAUCAUCACCAACUGGGAUGAUAUGGAGAAGAUCUGGCACCACUCCUUCUACAACGAGCUGCGCGUGGCCCCCGAGGAGCACCCAACCCUGCUCACCGAGGCUCCCCUCAACCCCAAGGCCAACCGGGAGAAGAUGACCCAGAUCAUGUUUGAAACCUUUAACGUCCCCGCCAUGUACGUCGCCAUCCAAGCCGUCCUCUCCCUCUACGCCUCUGGCCGCACAACCGGCAUUGUCCUCGACUCCGGGGACGGCGUCACCCACAACGUGCCCAUCUACGAGGGCUACGCUCUGCCCCACGCCAUCAUGCGUCUCGACUUGGCUGGCCGUGACCUCACCGACUACCUCAUGAAGAUCCUCACCGAGAGGGGCUACUCCUUUGUCACCACCGCCGAGCGGGAAAUCGUGCGUGACAUCAAGGAGAAGCUCUGCUACGUGGCUCUUGACUUUGAGAAUGAGAUGGCCACGGCCGCCUCCUCAUCCUCACUGGGACAAACCCAUGGCUGACCCCAUGGGAGGGCCUGGAGGAGGCAUGGGUGGGGGUCAGGGUGCUGACAGCCCCCUUCCACCCCAGGCAUGGAGUCAGCUGGUAUUCAUGAGACGACCUACAACUCCAUCAUGAAGUGUGACAUCGACAUCCGCAAGGACCUCUAC